GACGAACCGUGCGAACGUUGUUCGGAAUCACUGGGCUUAAAGGGCGCGUAGGCGGGCCUUCAAGUCCGGGGUGAAAUCCGUCCAGCCUAACUGGAGAGAGCCUCGGAGACUGAGGGCCUCGAGGAGGGUAGGGGCAAGCGGAACUAUGGGUGGAGCGGUGAAAUGCAUUGAUAUCCAUAGGAACUCCGGUGGCGAAGGCGGCUUGCUGGACCCUUUCUGACGCUGGAGGCGACGGAAAGCCAGGGGAGGCAAA
rnacentral:rRNA from 1 species